rnacentral:rRNA from 1 species
AACGAACGCUGGCGGCAGGCCUAACACAUGCAAGUCGAGCGAAGCCUUCGGGCUUAGCGGCGGCCGGGUGAGUAACGCGUGGGAACGUGCCCUUUGGUACGGAAUAGCCCCGGGAAACUGGGAGUAAUACCGUAUGUGGUCGAGAGACGAAAGAUUUAUCGCCAAAGGAUCGGCCCGCGUUGGAUUAGGUAGUUGGUGGGGUGAUGGCCUACCAAGCCGACGAUCCAUAGCGGGUUUGAGAGGAUGAUCAGCCACACUGGGACUGAGACACGGGCCAGAGUGCUACGGUAGGCAGCAGUGGGGAAUCUUAGACGAUGGGGGAAACCCUGAUCUAGCCAUGCCGGGUGAUCGAUGAAGGCCUUAGGGUUGUAAAGAUCUUUCAGUGGGGACGAUAAUGACUGUACCCACAGAAGAAGCCCCGGCUAACUCCGUGCCAGCCGCCGCAGUAA